UACGGAGGGUGCAAACGUUGCUCGGAAUCAUUGGGCGUAAAGCGCACGUAGGCGGCCGAUUAAGUCGGGUGUGAAAGCCCCGGGCUCAACCCGGGAAGUGCACUCGAAACUGACCGGCUUGAAUAUGGAAGAGGGUCGCGGAAUUCCCGGUGUAGAGGUGAAAUUCGUAGAUAUCGGGAGGAACACCAGUGGCGAAGGCGGCGACCUGGGCCAAUAUUGACGCUGAGGUGCGAAAGCGUGGGGAGCAAACAGG
rnacentral:rRNA from 1 species